GCCCAUGUGGUGUGACACGCCAAAAUGCAAAUUUGGAGACGCACCCUAAGAGGUGCCGGGGCUUCUCCCGUCCUGCGCGAAACGGGAGAAGC
rnacentral:tRNA from 1 species